CUUUACUGGGUUGGUUUCUAUUCUCUCCCUUCACAAGCUGGAGAAGGAUACUUGAGACCACCAGCAAAGAUCAAUGAGACCUCCAGCAAAGAUCAGUUGCCUAACAGAGAACAUUCCGAUGCCUGACAGAGCCCUUCUCCACAGAAGUUUGGACCCAUCAAACCCAGACUGUCUGCCACAUAUAGGGGCUAAUCUGUGGCCUCUCUCAUUUUAUAUAGUUCCAAAUCCACACAGAUCCAUAGAUGCUGAGGAUCCUACCUAUGUACUUCCCUCAACUCUAGCACAAACACAGAGCGAAUGAGAAAAAUGCCUGGAAAUUCCUUACUUCAAAUGUCAUCAUGAGUGGGUCAUCUCAUGAUUUGAAGCUGUUGGUUUUGACGUCAUCUACUUACUGUUCUACGUGGAUUCUAAGCCUAAACGAGAUGGGAUGUGGCACCCCCUCAACAGCUCCCUGCUUCCCUUCAUCCUAUCCAUCAUAGCAACCCAUCCUGUUCCCUGUCUACAUCAUUUCCUCCUUCAAAAAGACAGUCCAAGUUUGCUCAAUUGCGUGCAGAGGCAAAUGUGAGCUGACUCCUCUACAGGGAGAGAGAAGAAGAAUAUAGCAGUGAUCUUAGUGAGUGAAUAUGUCACGCCCAAUACUAAUAUACUUCCUUAGAUGUGGUGCCCUCGACAACUGCCUAUGCCUAAUAUUGCCCCGCCAAUAAAAACUCUGUUCUCACUCUGAAUUUACAGACCUUUGUUUCUUUAUACUGAACCAUUUAUGAAAGCUUUUCACCUACACCUCUGGGUCAGCCAAUUGAAGUGUGUUGGAUUGCCUUUCAAGUCAUUAACCUGCUUGCCUUUCAAGUCAUUAACCUGAGGUGCCCUCUGGUCUCACUGCACUGUGCAGAUGGAAGUUGCAGAUCUCACAUCACUAAUUGUAACAAACAAGAAAUAUUGCCAAUGUCCUGGAAAAGCUUCCACUGUCCUUCAGCUGAUGCCAACUCAAAUUAGAAGCACUGGGGUUUGCGAUGUUCAGUGCAUGACUGCAAAAGGUGCUGUUGCUAAAGACGAUAUAUGUCAAUUUCCCUGCGAAAUAGUCUGUCACUCCCCCAACUGAUAUGGGAAGAAAUAUUUUGCUAUUUACUUUGCAAAAUUCACUAACAGUGAUGUGGCAUUCCUGUUCCUAUCUUGUGAAACACUAUAAACAUUCCCAGGGUGGUUGUUGCUGCUAGCUAGA